AAAUUGAAGAGUUUGAUCAUGGCUCAGAUUGAACGCUGGCGGCAGGCCUAACACAUGCAAGUCGAACGGUAACAGGAAGAAGCUUGCUUCUUUGCUGACGAGUGGCGGACGGGUGAGUAAUGUCUGGGAAACUGCCUGAUGGAGGGGGAUAACUACUGGAAACGGUAGCUAAUACCGCAUAACGUCGCAAGACCAAAGAGGGGGACCUUCGGGCCUCUUGCCAUCGGAUGUGCCCAGAUGGGAUUAGCUAGUAGGUGGGGUAACGGCUCACCUAGGCGACGAUCCCUAGCUGGUCUGAGAGGAUGACCAGCCACACUGGAACUGAGACACGGUCCAGACUCCUACGGGAGGCAGCAGUGGGGAAUAUUGCACAAUGGGCGCAAGCCUGAUGCAGCCAUGCCGCGUGUAUGAAGAAGGCCUUCGGGUUGUAAAGUACUUUCAGCGGGGAGGAAGGGAGUAAAGUUAAUACCUUUGCUCAUUGACGUUACCCGCAGAAGAAGCACCGGCUAACUCCGUGCCAGCAGCCGCGGUAAUACGGAGGGUGCAAGCGUUAAUCGGAAUUACUGGGCGUAAAGCGCACGCAGGCGGUUUGUUAAGUCAGAUGUGAAAUCCCCGGGCUCAACCUGGGAACUGCAUCUGAUACUGGCAAGCUUGAGUCUCGUAGAGGGGGGUAGAAUUCCAGGUGUAGCGGUGAAAUGCGUAGAGAUCUGGAGGAAUACCGGUGGCGAAGGCGGCCCCCUGGACGAAGACUGACGCUCAGGUGCGAAAGCGUGGGGAGCAAACAGGAUUACCCUGGUAGUCCACGCCGUAAACGAUGUCGACUUGGAGGUUGUGCCCUUGAGGCGUGGCUUCCGGAGCUAACGCGUUAAGUCGACCGCCUGGGGAGUACGGCCGCAAGGUUAAAACUCAAAUGAAUUGACGGGGGCCCGCACAAGCGGUGGAGCAUGUGGUUUAAUUCGAUGCAACGCGAAGAACCUUACCUGGUCUUGACAUCCACGGAAGUUUUCAGAGAUGAGAAUGUGCCUUCGGGAACCGUGAGACAGGUGCUGCAUGGCUGUCGUCAGCUCGUGUUGUGAAAUGUUGGGUUAAGUCCCGCAACGAGCGCAACCCUUAUCCUUUGUUGCCAGCGGUCCGGCCGGGAACUCAAAGGAGACUGCCAGUGAUAAACUGGAGGAAGGUGGGGAUGACGUCAAGUCAUCAUGGCCCUUACGACCAGGGCUACACACGUGCUACAAUGGCGCAUACAAAGAGAAGCGACCUCGCGAGAGCAAGCGGACCUCAUAAAGUGCGUCGUAGUCCGGAUUGGAGUCUGCAACUCGACUCCAUGAAGUCGGAAUCGCUAGUAAUCGUGGAUCAGAAUGCCACGGUGAAUACGUUCCCGGGCCUUAACCGUAGGGGAACCUGCGGUUGGAUCA
rnacentral:rRNA from 1 species